rnacentral:rRNA from 1 species
AUAAUACUCCAUAGAUUAGAGACACUGGAAUGUUCUUUAGUCGAAAGUUCUGGCGCCUUAGGAUGGAUCUGCGGUCGAUUAGGUUGUUGUUGGGGUAACGGCCCAACAAGCCUGUAAUCGAUACGGGUUGUGGGAGCAAGAGCCCGGAGAUGGAAUCUGAGACACGAUUCCAGGCCCUACGGGGCGCAGCAGGCGCGAAAACUUUACAAUGCAGGAAACUGUGAUAAGGGAACUCCGAGUGCCCGUAUACGCGGGCUGUCCAGGUGUUUAAAAAUCAUCUGAAGAAAGGGCCGGGCAAGACCGGUGCCAGCCGCCGCGGUAAUACCGGCGGCUCGAGUGGUGGCCACUAUUAUUGGGCUUAAAGCGUCCGUAGCUGGACCGAUAAGUCUCUUGGGAAAUCCGCCGGCUCAACCGGCGGGCGUCUAAGGGAUACUGUUAGUCUAGGGACCGGGAGAGGUGAGAGGUACUCCGGGGGUAGGAGUGAAAUCCUGUAAUCCCCGGGGGACCACCGAUGGCGAAAGCAUCUCACCAGAACGGCUCCGACAGUGAGGGACGAAAGCUGGGGGACCGAACCGGAUUAGAUACCCGGGUAAUCCCAACCGUAAACUAUGCGCGUUAGGUGU